AGACCCAGGCGCGGCGUUUUACCUGCAGCGGCUGUGCUCGCCCCGCCGCGACCCCCGCAGGACGGAGCCGGAUCCCCCUGCACUCGGGCGGACCUGGGACCCUCAGAGGCGAGCCGGCUGCCUCGGGUCACACAUCCGUGAACUCCGGGGGCGGGCUCCCCAGGACGCCGUCGCCCCCCACGACCCCCAGCCCUCCCGCUUCCGUGGAAAGCCGCCCCGACGACCCCUGUGCGGGCUGUUGAGGGGCCGCCCCCCGCCGACCGCUGUGGGAACACCUCCGCGCGUGCGGCGGGGACGCGGCGAGUCCGGGGCAGGAAGAACGCACGGAUGGAGACAAUAGGAAGGAAAGAGACCUUCCUGGUCACAGGUGGGCCACAGGAGAACAGGCAGCAGCCCAGGAGGAUCCAGGGUCCUGAUGGUGGUUGAGAAGCUGGUUCUUAGUGAUCACACAGGAACAUCGGCCUGGCCUUGUGGGGUCAGACCUUGCAUCUCAGUCGGCUCAGGGAGAAGAAGAAGAUGGUCCACACCCAAGUGCAGGGAACAUCGUGGCAGUUGGCUGGGCACCCUCGUCCAGGCAAGGACACCUUCUGCAUCAAGGAAACACGCGUUUCCGGAGUGAGGAGGCUGAAGGCAGGGCCCAGAGGAGAGCCAAGACAUGCAAGGAGGUGUGUGCGUGGAUGGUGAGCUGGAGCAGGUGCAGCUGCCUCAGGGAGGAUGUAUGGGACGAACUGAUUCAGGGAAACCAUAAGAAAUACUUUCACCGAACAGGAGAAACCUGAAGGUCUGGGUCCAGAGCCUCAGAUCUUACACUGGCAGCACACGGGGACACAGCAGCUGGACUGGCAGCAGCAGGGCUUGCAGCAGCUGGACUGGCAGCAGGAUGAUCCACAGCCUGAGGAGCAGCAGCAGGGCUUACAGCAGCUGGACUGGGAGCAGCCACAAGAACCACAGCCCCCCUUGGAGCCACAACCCCCUUUGGAGCCCCCACAGGAGCCACAGCUGGAGCAGGAACAGGCUGGCACACAGCAGCACACGGGCUUGCAGCAGCAGACUGGCACAAAACAGCUGGAGCCACAGCCCCCACAGCCAGAGCCACAGCCCCCACAGCCGGAACCACAGCCCCCACAGCCACAGCAGCCCAUGGUUCUGGUGGAUUGAGGGUGGAGCAGGUAGAGGAGCAGGUGAGAGGGAGGUGCAGGUGUGGAGCUCCCUGAGCCUGGGCUCUUUAUAUACCUGUCCAGAUGUCAGGCAUGACACAGGGUCCCUUUCUUGUGACUGUUUACACUGUUUUUCCAGAGCUCUAUUUUUUUCCCCUUUGCUAGUGACUUCCUCCUGGCUCAGUUGAGCAUCUACUUUCUUUGUUUGCUAAAUUUGUCUUUUUCCCCAUUUGUUUUGGCCCCUGCAAUUGAAACCUCAGCUCCAGGCUGUCUGGUGCUUCCCACAAAGCUCCAGGGUGCUGGUCACCUGCUCUCUGCUGGCCACAUGUGACCAAUGGGCAGCAGCCUCUGCCCACGUGCUCUCAUCUUUCCUGUGUUGACUCCCCCAGUAAUAUUAAUUUUACAUUUUUAGAUUUCAAAAGUUAUCCAUGGUCUUUAUAUUUUACUCAUGCCAGUCUCAGCUUUCCAGGUGUAUUAGACCAUUCUUUGCAUUGCUCUAAAGAAAUACUUGAGGCUGGGUAAUUUAUAAAGGAAAGAGGUUAGAAUGGCUCAUGGUUCUGCAGGCUGCACAAGCAUGGCACCCACCUCUGCUUCUGGAGAGGCCCUCAGGGAGCUUUUCCUCAUGGUGGAAGGUGAAGCAGGGGCAGGCACGCUACAUGGUGAGAAUGGGAGCAAGGGGUGAGGAGGGACCACACACUUGUGAACAACCAGAUCUGAGUGAACACACUCAUCACCAAGGGGAUGACGCUAAGCCAGUCAUGAGGGAUCCACCCCCAUGACCCAAACACCUCCCCGCAGGCCCCUCCUUCAACACUGCCAACGAGAGCUUGAAGAAAUUCUCAGCAUCAUUCAUCAU
rnacentral:antisense_RNA from 1 species